rnacentral:rRNA from 1 species
AUGCAAGUCGAGCGGGGGAAGGUAGCUUGCUACUGGACCUAGCGGCGGACGGGUGAGUAAUGCUUAGGAAUCUGCCUAUUAGUGGGGGACAACAUCUCGAAAGGGAUGUUAAUACCGCAUACGUCCUACGGGAGAAAGCAGGGGAUCUUCGGACCUUGCGCUAAUAGAUGAGCCUAAGUCGGAUUAGCUAGUUGGUGGGGUAAAGGCCUACCAAGGCGACGAUCUGUAGCGGGUCUGAGGGGAUGAUCCGCCACACUGGGACUGAGACACGGCCCAGACUCCUACGGGAGGCAGCAGUGGGGAAUGUUGGACAAUGGGGGGAACCCUGAUCC